rnacentral:misc_RNA from 1 species
CCGAGUUUACAACUCCCAAACCCCUGUGAACAUACCACUGUUGCCUCGGCGGAUCAGCCCGCUCCCGGUAAAACGGGACGGCCCGCCAGAGGACCCCUAAACUCUGUUUCUAUAUGUAACUUCUGAGUAAAACCAUAAAUAAAUCA